GUGGCCGGCGGCGUGCUAUACAUGCAAGUCGAGCGGAUCUUCAUUAGCUUGCUUUUGAAGAUCAGCGGCGGACGGGUGAGUAACACGUGGGCAACCUGCCUGUAAGACUGGGAUAACUUCGGGAAACCGGAGCUAAUACCGGAUAAUCCUUUCCCUCACAUGAGGGAAAGCUGAAAGACGGUUUCGGCUGUCACUUACAGAUGGGCCCGCGGCGCAUUAGCUAGUUGGUGAGGUAACGGCUCACCAAGGCAACGAUGCGUAGCCGACCUGAGAGGGUGAUCGGCCACACUGGGACUGAGACACGGCCCAGACUCCUACGGGAGGCAGCAGUAGGGAAUCUUCCGCAAUGGACGAAAGUCUGACGGAGCAACGCCGCGUGAGCGAUGAAGGCCUUCGGGUCGUAAAGCUCUGUUGUCAGAGAAGAACAAGUACCGGAGUAACUGCCGGUACCUUGACGGUACCUGACCAGAAAGCCACGGCUAACUACGUGCCAGCAGCCGCGGUAAU
rnacentral:rRNA from 1 species